UACGUAGGGCGCAAGCGUUAUCCGGAAUUAUUGGGCGUAAAGAGCUCGUAGGCGGUUUGUCGCGUCUGCUGUGAAAACUGGAGGCUCAACCUCCAGCCUGCAGUGGGUACGGGCAGACUAGAGUGCGGUAGGGGAGAUUGGAAUUCCUGGUGUAGCGGUGGAAUGCGCAGAUAUCAGGAGGAACGCCGAUGGCGAAGGCAGAUCUCUGGGCCGUAACUGACGCUGAGGAGCGAAAGCAUGGGGAGCGAACAGG
rnacentral:rRNA from 1 species